GUCUACGGCCAUACCACCCUGAACUUGCCCGAGCUUGUCUGAUCUUGGAAG
rnacentral:rRNA from 1 species